AACGGCGUAGUGAAGCGGCAAAAGCUCAAAUUUGAAAUCUGGCUCCUUUGGGGCCCGAGUUGUAAUUUGCAGAGGAUGCUUCGGGCGUGGCCGCGGUCUAAGUCCCCUGGAACGGGGCGUCGCAGAGGGUGAGAAUCCCGUCUUCGGCCGGCCGGCUUCGCCCAUGUGAAGCUCCUUCGACGAGUCGAGUUGUUUGGGAAUGCAGCUCUAAAUGGGUGGUAAAUUUCAUCUAAAGCUAAAUAUUGGUCGGAGACCGAUAGCGCACAAGUAGAGUGAUCGAAAGAUGAAAAGCACUUUGAAAAGAGAGUUAAACAGCAUGUGAAAUUGUUGAAAGGGAAGCGCUUGCGACCAGAGUCGGCCGUGGGGGUUCAGCGGGCAUUCGUUGCCCGUGCACUCCCCCACGGGCGGGCCAGCGUCGGUUUCGACGGCCGGUCAAAGGCCCCCGGAAUGUGUCGCCUCUCGGGGCGUCUUAUAGCCGGGGGUGCAAUGCGGCCAGUCGGGACCGAGGAACGCGCUUCGGCACGGACGCUGGCUUAAUGGUCGUAAGCGACCCGUCUUGAAACACGGACCAAGGAGUCUAACAUCCACGCGAGUGUUCGGGUGUCAAACCCGUCCGCGCAGUGAAAGCGAACGGAGGUGGGAACCCUUAAGGGUGCACCAUCGACCGAUCCUGAAGUCUUCGGAUGGAUUUGAGUAAGAGCGUGGCUGUUGGGACCCGAAAGAUGGUGAACUAUGCCUGAAUAGGGUGAAGCCAGAGGAAACUCUGGUGGAGGCUCGCAGCGGUUCUGACGUGCAAAUCGAUCGUCGAAUUU
rnacentral:rRNA from 1 species